rnacentral:rRNA from 1 species
AUUGAACGCUGGCGGCAGGCCUAACACAUGCAAGUCGAACGAGUGGCGGACGGGUGAGUAAUGUCUGGGAAACUGCCCGAUGGAGGGGGAUAACUACUGGAAACGGUAGCUAAUACCGCAUACCAUCGGAUGUGCCCCGAUGGGAUUAGCUUGUCGGGGAGGUAACGGCUCACCUAGGCGACGAUCCCUAGCUGGUCUGAGAGGAGGACCAGCCGAACUGGAAAUGAGACACGGUCCAGACGCCUACGGGAGGCAGCAGGGGGGAAUAUUGAACAAUGGGCGCAAGCCUGAUGCAGCCAUGACGCGUGUGUGAAGAAGGCCUUCGGGUGGUAAAGUACUUUCAGCGGGGAGGCGUUACCCGAAGAAGAAGCACCGGCUAACUCCGUGCCAGCCGCCGCGGUAAUAC